AGCGGCGGACGGGUGAGUAACACGUGGGUAACCUACCCAUAAGACUGGGAUAACUCCGGGAAACCGGGGCUAAUACCGGAUAAUAUUUUGAACUGCAUAGUUCGAAAUUGAAAGGCGGCUUCGGCUGUCACUUAUGGAUGGACCCGCGUCGCAUUAGCUAGUUGGUGAGGUAACGGCUCACCAAGGCAACGAUGCGUAACCGACCUGAGAGGGUGAUCGGCCACACUGGGACUGACACACGGCCCACACUCCUACGGGAGGCAGCAGUAGGGAAUCUUCCGCAAUGGACGAAAGUCUGACGGACCACCGCCGCGUGAGUGAUGAAUGCUUUCGGGUCGUAAAACUCUGUUGUUAGGAAAGAACAAGUGCUAAUUGAAUAAGCUGGCACCUUGACGGUACCUAACCAGAAAGCCACGGCUAACUACGUGCCACCAGCCGCGGUAAUACGUAGGUGGCAAGCGUUAUCCGGAAUUAUUGGGCGUAAAGCGCGCGCAGGUGGUUUCUUAAGUCUGAUGUGAAAGCCCACGGCUCAACCGUGGAGGGUCAUUGCAAACUGGCAUACUUGAGUGCAAAAAAGGAAAGUGUAAUUCCAUGUGUAUCGGUGAAAUGCAUAUAGAUAUGAAGGAACACCAGUGGCGAAAGCUACUUUCUGGUCUGUAACUGACACUGACGCGCGAAAGCGUGGGGAGCAAACAUGAUUACAUACCCUGGUAGUCCACGCCGUAAACGAUGAGUGCUAAGUGUUAGAGGGUUUCCGCCCUUUAGUGCUGAAGUUAACGCAUUAAUCACUCCGCCUGGGGAGUACGGCCGCAAGGCUGAAACUCAAAGGAAUUGACGG
rnacentral:rRNA from 1 species